rnacentral:rRNA from 1 species
UACAGAGGGGGCCAGCGUUAUUCGGAAUUAUUGGGCGUAAAGGGCGCGUAGGCGGCUUUGCGUGUCUUUCGUGAAAUCCCUCGGCUCAACUGAGGACGUGCGGAAGAAACUGCAGGGCUGGAGUCCGGGAGAGGAGGGUGGAAUUCCCAGUGUAGCGGUGAAAUGCGUAGAUAUUGGGAGGAACACCGGUGGCGAAGGCGGCCCUCUGGACCGGUACUGACGCUGAUGCGCGAAAGCGUGGGGAGCAACAGG